AGUCUUCAAGUAAUGAUGUUGCACCUCUAGAUUUACAAUAAACUAUUAUAAAUUAUCUUGAAGUUCAAACAGGGAUGUAUAAUAGAGGGAUCCGCAACUCGAUUUUAAGCCGAAUAUGCUGUCGUGCAGUUUUCGCGCAUGCGCACUCGUCUGAAGCUGAAAACGAAAAUGGUGGAUCAGACGACUUUUGUUAGGUUAAAAAAUCAUCAUAAUCACCGUUAUUAAACGAUCAUCGAGACCAAAUACACAUGGUACAAUGACAAGUUGAUGUUCACCUAACCAUGCAAGUAUAACUUUGCAGAGACAUCUUCAUUGUUGACUACUGGAAGAAUAUUUAAAAUGCCAGCACGAAGGAAGACGAGAGUCGGCCAAAGAAAGAAAUACGCUUCUGUUCAGAAGAAAUCCAAAGUGUUUAAGAUUGAAGACGCUGUCGCAGCAGAAUCUGAUGCAUUCUUUGCAAAGCCACUGGACUUCUUUUUUUCCGAUGCGGAGGACAUUAAUAGCUUAACUGAUGUCAUUCCUGAGGCGGGACCUGUUGAAGAUAUCGAUAUUGGUGGGUUUUCUGCAAAUGAAUUCAUAGUUUGUUUGGAUAGACCAUACACAUACUCACCGGAUGUUGUUUUAGAGGACUUUAUAUUGAGCAAACUGAGAGAAAGCUGUGAGCAGGCUUUAAAAAGUGAUAAGAAAUUUAUGUAUAUGACUAACUCUUCAAAUUUGAAAUGUAUAGAACUGUAUGACAGUGAUGAGCACUGGGAAACGCCCAGAGUUAAGACAUGCAUAAGUGUAGAUAAAGACCUGGCAAUAAAAAUCAUGGUGCAAUGCAAGUCUUUACCUGACAGUCACACAAUUUAUAGAAGAAUUGGAAGCUCAUGCUAUUCUAUCAAGUCUAUUCAAAAAGUGUUUGACAUUAUCAGUGACUAUCACAUUUGUGAAGGAAACAAUGAUGCAGAGCUUCAAGAUCUCAUUCCGGUUGGAUCUUUUAUGGAUAUAACCAAAGGUAACAAGUAUCAAGGUUACCGUGACUCUUUUUUUCAACCAGUCAACGAUAAGAUCAAAGAGAUGUGACUUGUUUGUACAAAGGAAAAUUAGUCGCUGUUGUGUUUGUCAAACUUACCGUCGAACACUUCGCAAAGUUUUGAAUCGAAAAAAGUUCUCCUAAAGUUUCUACACCCAAGAAGGAUUGGACUAAAUGUAAAACUUCCAACAAGAACUUAACAGAACAUCAAAAAUUUUAUAAAAUUAAACAACUGAAAGACAUUACCUCCCAGUUGCAAUUGGAAAAUGCCCGUUUAAGACGUGAAAUUACUAAAAAAAUUAGAAGUGAAGGUGUCUGCUUGUCGGAAAAAGAAGUAAAGACUUAUCUGAACUGAUGCAAAGUUGUGAAUGGGACGUUAAAAAGAGUCACCCGGAUGAAUCUUCAUAUCAGCGUUUGUUCUGGGAAGAACAAUUCAAGUAUUCUCAACUAAACGACAAUCGGGGCAUGCGCUGGCACCCAUCAAUUAUAAAAUGGUGCAUUUAUUAAAAAAGUACAAGUGCUACAACAUACGACACUUUGAGGAAUUCCGGUUUUGUUAAACUACCCUCCGAGCGAACUCUGUUUGACUACACAAAUGCUAAUGCUUAAGAAGUAGGGUUCCUUGAGGGCAACAUUGACAUGCUUAUAGAUGAAACGGAAGGCUACACAGAUCACCAAAGGAUAGUUGGGUUGCUUCAGGAUGAAGUAAAAUAAAAGAAUGACCUCGCUUAUGACAGACAUACUGGUGAACUCAUAGAAUUUGUGAAUCUUGGCUCAAUCAAUAAAAAUUUGAACGAUCUGAAAAAUGAAUGUGACAGUUUAGCGAAAUAUGUGUUGGUUGUGAUGGUACGUGGUAUAUCGUCAAAUUUGAAAUUGCCACUCGCUCAUUUUGCAACUCACGGAGUAACUUCCGACCAGUUAUUUUGCAUAUAAUGGGAAGCAGUUGAGGUAUGUAAAGUGGAUGUUGGUCUAAAAGUGCUCUUCAUCACAAGUGAUGGGGCAUCACCAAACAGGCGUUUUAUUCGUCUUCAUGGAGGCGGAAAUGGCACUGUGUACAAAAGUAAUAAUGUAUUUUCCCAUGAACCUAGAGAGAUAUUCUUUAUCAGUGAUGUAUCCCACCUUAUAAAAACUACAAAAAAUUGCUUUUCGAAUUCAAAUUCUCAUCGCAAUAGUCGCAAAAUGUGGAAAGACGGUCAUGAUAUAUCAUGGAUGCAGAUUAUCAACCUGUAUAAGGAUCAUUGUUGUGGCCUUUACAGACUUUGUCCAAAACUGACACAAGAACACAUCGAUAUUACUUCAUUUGGUGCAAUGAAAGUUAAACUAGCGACUCAAGUCCUUUCAUCUACUGUUGCCCAUGCUUUAGAGCUAAAUUAUGAUGAUCGUGUGACAGAAACUGUAAAAUUUAUUAGACACAUGAAUAAAUUUUUCGAUUGUCUAAAUAACAGGCAUCUUGGUGAAGCCAAUCGGACUCGCAAUGAAAAUUUGAGAGAAUACAGAGAUGUAAAUGACAGUAGAUUGCUAUAUUUGAAACAAGAGUUUCUAGAAUACUUUGAAGAUUGGAAAAGAAGUGUGGAAAAUAGACGGGGUACAUUCACUAAAGGUCAGAUGAAUGGAAUGAUGCUCAGCUUCCAAACAUUAGACGGGUUUAACAUCACCGUGAAUUCCGUGAUAGAUUGUGUCAAGUUUUGUUUAAACCAAGGAAUGGAAUUUGUUUUGACUGAAAAAUUUAACCAAGACACAAUCGAACAACACUUUGGAAUCCAUCGAGCUAGUUUGGGCAGCAAUACAAAUCCACGGUUGUAUGACUUUAACAAUUCCAUGGUUAAAAUCCGUACUGCAGGAAGCCAAGCAAUAGAACCUUUUCGUGGAAAUACGAAGCGAAGAAUAGAACUUGCUCCAUUAGAUGACUUGCCACUUCGGAAAAGAGUAAAACAUAUGAAAUAGAAGGCCAACUUAACUGCUUGCAAAACUUUUAUUUGACUGUAUCACUGUAAAGUAAAGGGAAAUGCUAUUGUAUUGUUGUUCUGAAAUAAAUAUAUAGAUAAAAUGACAUUUGGAAAUACAACUUGAAAUCUACAUCAUUUCUUCCUACAAUCAAUUUAUUUAAUAUUGAUGACAGUAAUAUGAUAAUGAUAGGGUUGUGAUUAAUAGAAAAAGCAUUUUUUAUUAAUUUCGGAUAAAGAUUGUUUUAUGUUGUGUACUAGGUGUACUAAUUUAUUACUAUUACAUCAUGUACAGCAGCAUACCCUCAGAUUUAUCAGUAUAAAGAAGUUUAUGAACAUUUAAAAAAAAAAUCAAAAUAAUUAACAAAUUCUGAAGCAAAUCAAGUUUAUUCAAUCUUAAAUCACUUGUCAACAGCACUUUUUAUAACAACCAUACAAUAAGUCAAAAUAUCAUAAGAUCUUGUUUGCAGUUACUCUCUACAUGUAUAUGUAACUAGAUAGAAAUGAAAUUAUAAUAAUAAAAUUUGUAAAUUCUUUCAAGGUAUAGCAAAAUGUCUAAACAAUUUAAUUUACAUAAAAUAUGUAUGUUAGUAAAUAUAAUUUCACUACAUUAAGUAUUUAUCUCAAAAACUACAUUUAAGAGUUCUAUACUCAUCUGAUGGUGUGCAGCUUUGAGAACAGUAUAAUUUAAUUUUGAUUUAACUAAUAUUAUUGAGAACUUAUUCUUGUUUCCACAAUAUUUGUCUUACAUGUUUCUUUCGGUAAGACAAAUAUAUGACACAUGGAUUAAUAUUGUUAAGUUAAGUACAGAUGUUAGUGAUAGCAGUAACUUGUUCUUUCAUACUGGAUAUCAUCAAGUAGGAUUUUUCAAGUCUUGUCAAAGUCAUUCUAUUUAUCAGAGUUUUUUUGUCAUGAAGCACUUUUCUCAAUGAUUUGGUAGCAUCUUUUUUGUCCCCUAUGAGUUGUCUACGUUUAAGUUUUGCCACUGCAGGACCACGAACAUUCAAAAAUAUUGUAAUACAUUAUUCAAUGGGAUAUUUGUUCAUUUAGAAGUUUUUCUGAGUAGAACUUGACCAUAUGAUCUUCCAUGAUAAUUUCUUUAGCACUAAUGAAGGAGUCCUUGCUUAUUUCACAUUCAUUCACAUUUCUUCGGAGACAAAUUUCACAUUCCCGCAUGAAUAAGAAGAAAUCAUCACUCGGGACUACAAGUUUGCCACGACUAAUGGUUGUUGUCCAACAUGAAUAUUUAACUAUGAAAGUCUUUUCUGAGUCAUUACAGUUUUUUUAUAAGACUGGUGAUGGCUUCUGUGUCUAUUGCAUGGGUCUUCUUCUUCAACUGGUACAAUACAUACCCGCUAAUAUGAAGAAUCACAGACUGUUCAGUAUCAUUCAAAGGUGUUGUAAUGCCUUUUUUAUAAGGUAUUUUGUACAUAGAUGCCCUAUUUUCUAUUAGAUCUGUUAGCAACUGACGGUGUAAAACUGCAAUGAACGGUCUAGUAGGAAUUGAUCUCACAGCAUCUUUACAUAUUUUUGAUAUUUGAUCUAUAGAAUCCUCCAUAUACAUGAGUUCAUGGAAUUUCUGUAGAGUGAUUCACUAGUACUACUUUCACUUGAAGCUGCCGAGUUGAAAACCUAAUGAUACCUAGGUUCAAGAUAACUAGCUAGUUGUCUAAGAACAUCUUCACUUUCUUGAAUUUUUGUGAUGAUAUCUAUUAUAUUUCAUCCAUUAACUGAGCGUUUCAUGUUCCGAAACUUGUUUUUACUUACAUUCUCCAGAGAUUGAGAGAAGACACAUGAGAAUGUGUUUGAAAACUGUGUACUGUCAAGAUUGAAAGGUUCAGCUUUGUCUGUGUUAGUGUUCCCUUUUCGAUAUGCAGAUACUGAAAUGAAAUAAAAAAUUGUAUAUAAAUUUUGUAAAUAGGGGAUAUGGAAAACGGAACUGAUAUGUUUCUCACUUUAACCGAUAUAAGUGAAUAUUAAUGAGAUAUGUAUAUUUUUGAAAAUGCUUCAAGCUAUAUUGUAUUCUGGAGUGAAAUAAGUUUUGAGUUUUGUAUUGUGACAAACUGUAUUUUCAGCUUGACUUGUAUAAAGUUUACAGAAUUAGAAGUAUUAUUCAUCAUUUUGCAAACAAGUUCUUGUUCAAAUUGUUGUUUUCGCAAAAUUCGAUAGAUAUUGAAUUGAUGUAAAAUUCUAAUAUGGAUAUUAAAUUGAU